rnacentral:rRNA from 1 species
GACGAACGCUGGCGGCGUGCUUAACACAUGCAAGUCGAACGGAAAGGCCCUGCUUUUGUGUGGUGCUCGAGUGGCGAACGGGUGAGUAACACGUGAGUAACCUGCCCUUGACUUUGGGAUAACUUCAGGAAACUGGGGCUACUACCGGAUAGGAGCUCCUGCUGCAUGGUGGGGGUCGGAAAGUUUCGGCGGUUGGGGAUGGACUCGCGGCUUAUCAGCUUGUUGGUGGGGUAGUGGCUUACCAAGGCUUUGACGGGUAGCCGGCCUGAGAGGGUGACCGGCCACAUUGGUACUGCGAUACGGACCAGACGGCUACGGGAGGCAGCAGUGGGGAAUAUUGCACAAUGGGCGGAAGCCUGAUGCAGAAACGCCGGGUGCGUGAUGACGGCCUUCGGGUUGUAAACCGCUUUCGCCUGUGACGAAGCGUGAGUGACGGUAAUGGGUAAAGAAGCACCGGCUAACUACGUG